rnacentral:ribozyme from 1 species
AAAGAACAAGAAAGAAAAGUUGUUGAUUUGAACAACUUGUUUAGAUGGAAGAAGAGAAGACCUUUUUUGUUUUUGUUCCUUCCUUCAUCUCCUCUCCCUUCUUCCACCUUUUCUUUUCCCUUUGUUUCUUCCUUUCACAGGUGUGAAUUCGUUCUUUUUUUAAAACAAUCUUGCAAAGAAAAUGCAAGUUUUCUUCAAAACAGGCGUGUGAAUAACUCAACGUUUAUUUCUUUCUUUCGAUUUCUAUUCUUAAUUA